rnacentral:rRNA from 1 species
AUUGAACGCUGGCGGCAUGCCUAACACAUGCAAGUCGAACGAGUGGCGGACGGGGGAGUAAUGUCUGGGAAACCGUCCGAUGGAUGGGGAUAACUACUGGAAACGGUAUCUAAUACCGCAUACCAUCGGAUGUCACCAGAUGGGAUUUGCUUGUAGGUGGGGUAACGGCUCACCUAGGCGACGAUCCCUAGCUGGUCUGAGAGGAUGACCAGCCACACUGGGACUGAGACACGGUCCAGACUCCUACGGGAGGCAGCAGUGGGGAAUAUUGCACAAUGGGCGAAAGCCUGAUGCAGCCAUGCCGCGUGUAUGAAGAAGGCCUUCGGGUUGUAAAGUACUUUCAGCGGGGAGGCGUUACCCGCAGAAGAAGCACCGGCUAACUCCGUGCCAGCAGCCGCGGUAAUAC